rnacentral:rRNA from 1 species
UAACGAAUAUUGGGCAAUGGGCGAGAGCCUGACCCAGCGAUGCCGCGUGAGUGAUGAAGGCUUUCGGGUCGUAAAGCUCUGUCAGAGGGGAAGAAACACUCAGGGGUUAAUACUCCCUGGGCUUGACGGUACCCUCAAAGGAAGCACCGGCUAACUCCGUGCCAGCAGCCGCGGUAAUACGGAGGGUGCAAGCGUUAUUCGGAUUCACUGGGCGUAAAGGGUGCGCAGGCGGCCGUGUGUGUUAGGCGUGAAAGCCCGAGGCUUAACCUCGGAAUUGCACCUAAAACUACAUGGCUAGAGUACUGGAGAGGGUAGCGGAAUUCACGGUGUAGCAGUGAAAUGCGUAGAUAUCGUGAGGAACACCAAUGGCGAAGGCAGCUACCUGGACAGUUACUGACGCUCAGGCACGAAAGCGUGGGGAGCAAAAG